rnacentral:misc_RNA from 1 species
AAAAAUAAAUAAAUUAUCUCAAAAAUUAUAAUACCUACACAGUUAUUUGAGGAAAAAUAAUAAUAGGAGAAAUCUAAGUUUUUAUUUUUUCAAUUUCAUUGAUCCUAAAAUACGCAAAAACAAUGGAAUCCUUCUAGGAAAUUUCAAAUUGUUUCUUUAAAUUGGAAAAUUUAUUUCCCUUGCAACACUAAAAUAUAAAACAUUAGACCAAUACAAAAUCAAAUUUCACAAAUGAUAAAAAGGAAAGUAACUAAUCGACAACUUCACAACAGAAAAUUAAUUUUCGAUUUCGUAACAAUCAAUUCUGAUUUCACAAACAUGUACACCAGCAGCAGCAACAACAACAACAA